UUCUCAGUCGCCUACACUGGGUCCUUCGUUCCUCCUGAAGGACUUUUCUGGUUGCGUGUCCACGUGGAGAUGAGUGUCACCAUGCGCUCUUAAAGCGGUAAAGACGGCUUCAUUGUGUAGCAUGUGGCAUUGCAUUGAAAGCAGCAGGAAAUGGCUGGUGCACCGUGUCACGUGUUGACCCCAUGAGGUGUGAAUCUACAUUAGGUGAGCAGGCCUGCAGGGUCAGGGUUACAUGACACCUGGGUCUAUAUUCACCAAGGAGUGAUCCUUUCUAGUGGAGGUAAAUUACCCAGCAUUCAAGGACUAGUGGCGUGUGAGAUGCUGUUUUCUGCGAGAUUUGUGAAUCUGCACUGCAUUCUUUUAUAAAUAAAACCUUCUGCUUAACAGUC